rnacentral:rRNA from 1 species
CCCUUAGAUGUUCUGGGCCGCACGCGCGCUACACUGACGAAUGCAACGAGCUUAUAACCUUGGCCGAAAGGUCUGGGUAAUCUCCAAAUUUCGUCGUGAUGGGGAUAGAUUAUUGCAAUUAUUAAUCUUCAACGAGGAAUGCCUAGUAAGCGCAAGUCAUCAGCUUGCGUUGAUUACGUCCCUGCCCUUUGUACACACCGCCCGUCGCUCCUACCGAUUGAAUGGUUCGGUGAAGCGUUCGGACCGUGGCCUUUGGACGGUUCGCCGUCUGUUGGCUGCGGGAAGUUCGUUAAACCUUAUCAUUUAGAGGAAGGAGAAGUCGUAACA